UUACGGGUGUACGUUUCUGC
rnacentral:siRNA from 1 species